rnacentral:lncRNA from 1 species
GGUCCUUUUCAUAUACACAUCUCUAUAUCCGACUUUGAUUUGUGGAUGAGUGUGAUCAUCUGAUCAAGAAGAAGUCUAACAAGGGGUUCUACACUAUAACUCUUAAAUAGAGGUAUAACCCAAAUUUCUUAUUUAUUUAGUCUUAAAUAAAGUUAGAUAUGAAAAUUAGAUUUAAGAGUAAUUAGGAUAUUAGAUCUUUGAAAAUAGGAAUCUAACAAUAAUUUAAUAUUUUUUACCGACAUCGAGGAUGAGUUGGAAUUAUAUUGAUUGAUUGGACAUACCAGGC